rnacentral:rRNA from 1 species
UACAUGGGGUGCAAACGUUGCUCGGAAUUAUUGGGCGUAAAGCGCACGUAGGCGGUUCGUUAAGUCGGACGUGAAAGCCCUCGGCUCAACCGAGGAAGUGCAUCCGAAACUGGCGAGCUAGAGUACGAAAGAGGGUCGCGGAAUUCCCGGUGUAGAGGUGAAAUUCGUAGAUCUCGGGAGGAACACCAGUGGCGAAGGCGGCGAUCUGGGUCGAUACUGACGCUGAGGUGCGAAAGCGUGGGGAGCAAACAGG